rnacentral:misc_RNA from 1 species
GGUGGGAGCGAGCCUGCUCGCGAUGGCGGCGUGUCAGUCAACAUCAAUGCUGCUGAUCCACUGCUAUCGCGAGCAGGCUCGCUCCCACA